rnacentral:rRNA from 1 species
UACAGAGGCCCCAAGCGUUACUGAGAAUCACUGGGUUUAAGGGUGCGUAGGUGGUGCGUUAAGUCCGUUGUGAAAGCCCUGGGCUCAACCCAGGAACUGCUUCGGAUACUGGCGCGCUUGAGGCUAGUAGGGGUCACUGGAACUGACGGUGGAGCGGUGAAAUGCGUAGAUAUCGUCAGGAACGCCAAUGGUGAAGACAGGUGACUGGGCUAGUUCUGACACUGAGGCACGAAAGCGUGGGGAGCGAACGGG